UGCCCAAUGAUUAAUUUUUGGCCGCGGUAUUUAUCGUGCGAAGGUAGCAUAAUCACUUGUCUCUUAAUUAGAGUCUAGAAUGAAAGGUUAAACGAAGGGUUAACUUUUUUAACCAAACUUUUUUUAAUUUAAUUUUGUAGUUAAAAAGCUACAAUAAAUUUAUGGGACGAUAAGACCCUAUAGAAUUUUAUUUAUUAUUAGUUGUGUAAUAUUUAGUUAAAAUUAAUUUAUACAAUUUUGUAUAAAUUUGGUUGGGGUGAUUGUUAUAAUUUAUCAACUAUAACUUUAUUAAUUCAUUAAUUAAUGAAUUAUUGAUCCUAAUGUUUAGAUUAUAAGAAUAAAUUACCUUAGGGAUAACAGCGUAAUUUUUUUGGAAAGUUCUUAUUAAUAAAAAAGAUUGCGACCUCGAUGUUGGAUUAAAAUUAAUUUAUGGUGCAGAAUCUAUAAAUUUUAAGUCUGUUCGACUUUUAAAAUUUUACAUGAUCUGAGUUCAACCGGAA
rnacentral:rRNA from 1 species